rnacentral:rRNA from 1 species
UACGUAGGGGGCAAGCGUUGUCCGGAUUCAUUGGGCGUAAAGAGCGUGUAGGCGGCCAGGUAGGUCGGUUGUGAAAACUCGAGGCUCAACCUCGAGCUGUCGGCGGAAACCAUCUGGCUAGAGUCCGGAAGAGGAAAGUGGAAUUCCCGGUGUAGCGGUGAAAUGCGCAGAUAUCGAGAGGAACACCAGUGGCGAAGGCGAGUCCCUGGACAACACCUGACACUGAGGCACGAAAGCUAGGGGAGCAAACAGG